rnacentral:RNase_P_RNA from 1 species
UCAGCCGGCCGGGCGGCCGCUCCGGACCUCACGGUCCGGGGAGGAAAGUCCGGGCUCCAUGGAGAGACGGUGCCGGAUAACGUCCGGCGGGGGCGACCCCAGGGACAGUGCCACAGAAAGCAGACCGCCCUGCAUGCAGGGUCAGGGUGAAAGGGUGCGGUAAGAGCGCACCGCGGACGCGGCAACGCGGACGGCACGGCAAACCCCACCGGGAGCAAAACCGAAUAGGGGCGACGCGCCCCCCGCGAGGGGAGGCAGGCCCACUCUCCAGGCCGGUCGCCCGGGUUGGUUGCUUGAGGCGGUCGGCAACGACCGUCCCAGAGGAAUGGCCGCCACGUGCGGGCCGGCUUCGCGGCCGGCCUUCGCCCUACAGAACCCGGCUUACAGGCCGGCUGAUCCG